rnacentral:rRNA from 1 species
GAUGAACGCUGGCGGCGUGCUUAACACAUGCAAGUCGAACGAUGAAGCCCAGCUUGCUGGGUGGAUUAGUGGCGAACGGGUGAGUAACACGUGAGUAACCUGCCCUUAACUCUGGGAUAAGCCUGGGAAACUGGGUCUAAUACCGGAUAGGAGCGUCCACCGCAUGGUGGGUGUUGGAAAGAUUUAUCGGUUUUGGAUGGACUCGCGGCCUAUCAGCUUGUUGGUGAGGUAAUGGCUCACCAAGGCGACGACGGGUAGCCGGCCUGAGAGGGUGACCGGCCACACUGGGACUGAGACACGGCCCAGACUCCUACGGGAGGCAGCAGUGGGGAAUAUUGCACAAUGGGCGCAAGCCUGAUGCAGCGACGCCGCGUGGGGGAUGACGGCCUUCGGGUGGUAAACCUCUUUCAGUAGGGAAGAAGCGAAAGUGACGGUACCUGCAGAAGAAGCACCGGCUAACUACGU